GGAGAGAUGUCCGAGCUGGCCGAAGGAGCACGCUUGGAAAGCGUGUAGGGGAUUAACGUCUCCUCCAGGGUUCGAACCCCUGUCUCUCCGCCA
rnacentral:tRNA from 1 species